rnacentral:rRNA from 1 species
AGUGAACGCUGGCGGUAGGCCUAACACAUGCAAGUCGAACGGCAGCACAGUAAGAGCUUGCUCUUACGGGUGGCGAGUGGCGGACGGGUGAGGAAUACAUCGGAAUCUACUUUUUCGUGGGGGAUAACGUAGGGAAACUUACGCUAAUACCGCAUACGACCUACGGGUGAAAGCAGGGGAUCUUCGGACCUUGCGCGAUUGAAUGAGCCGAUGUCGGAUUAGCUAGUUGGCGGGGUAAAGGCCCACCAAGGCGACGAUCCGUAGCUGGUCUGAGAGGAUGAUCAGCCACACUGGAACUGAGACACGGUCCAGACUCCGACGGGAGGCAGCAGUGGGGAAUAUUGGACAAUGGGCGCAAGCCUGAUCCAGCCAUACCGCGUGGGUGAAGAAGGCCUGCGGGUUGUAAAGCCCUUUUGUUGGGAAAGAAAAGCAGCAGGUUAAUACCCCGCUGUUCUGACGGUACCCAAAGAAUAAGCACCGGCGAACUUCGU